rnacentral:rRNA from 1 species
GACAGAGGUGCCGAGCGUUAGGCGGAAUCACUGGGCUUAAAGCGUGUGUAGGCGGACUUCUAAGUACCUUGUGAAAUCCCACGGCUCAACCGUGGAACUGCUUGGUAUACUGGUCGUCUUGAGCCACUUAGGGGCAGUCGGAACAGACGGUGGAGCGGUGAAAUGUGUAGAGAUCGGGAGGAACACCGGUGGCGAAGGCGGCCUUCUGGACGGUGACUGACGCUGAGACGCGAAAGCGUGGGGAGCAAACAGG